rnacentral:tRNA from 1 species
GCUUUCCUGUGGCUCAGUUGAUGGAGCAUUGCGCUAACAACGCACAAAGGUUGUGGGUUCAAAUCCCAGGGAAAGCA